GACGAACGCUGGCGGCGUGCUUAACACAUGCAAGUCGAACGGAAAGGCCCUGCUUUUGUGGCGUGCUCGAGUGGCGAACGGGGGAGUAACACGUGAGUAACCUGCACUUGACUUUGUGAUAACUUCAGGAAACUGGGGCUAAUACCGGAUAGGAGCUCCUGCUGCAUGGGGGGGGUUGGAAAGUUUCGGCGGUUGGGGAUGGACUCGAGGCUUAUCAGCUUGUUGGUGGGGUAGGGGAGUACCAAGGUUUUGAAGGGUAGGCGGCCUGAGAGGGUGACCGGCCACAUUGGGACUGAGAUACGGACCAGACUCCUACGGGCGGCAGCAGUGGGGAAUAUUGCACAAUGGGCGGAAGCCUGAUGCAGCAACGCCGCGUGCGGGAUGACGGCCUUCGGGUUGUAAACCGCUUUCGCAUGUGACGAAGCGUGAGUGACGGUAAUGGGUAAAGAAGCACCGGCUAACUACGUG
rnacentral:rRNA from 1 species